GGCAUGGGGGCUCAGUGGUUGGAGUGCCCGCAUCAUGAACAGGAGGUCGUGGGUUCAAACCCCAGCCGAGUCA
rnacentral:tRNA from 1 species